GAUGAACGCUGGCGGCGUGCUUAACACAUGCAAGUCGAACGGAAAGGCUCCAGCUUGCUGGGGUGCUCGAGUGGCGAACGGGUGAGUAACACGUAAGUGAUCUGCCCUGCACUGGGGGAUAAGCUUGGGAAACUGGGUCUAAUACCCUAUAGGACCGCAUCGUGGUUGGUGUGGUGGAAAGGUUUUUCUGGUGUGGGAUGAGCUUGCGGCCUAUCAGCUUGUUGGUGGGGUAAUGGCCUACCAAGGCGGCGACGGGUAGCCGGCCUGAGAGGGUGUGCGGCCACAUUGGGACUGAGAUACGGCCCAGACUCCUACGGGAGGCAGCAGUGGGGAAUUUUGCACAAUGGGCGGAAGCCUGAUGCAGCGACGCCGUGUGGGGGAUGAAGGCCUUCGGGUUGUAAACUCCUUUCGUCAGGGACGAAGUUUUUUUGACGGUACCUGGAUAAGAAGCACCGGCUAACUACGUGCCAGCAGCCGCGGUAAUACGUAGGGUGCGAGCGUUGUCCGGAUUUACUGGGCGUAAAGGGCUCGUAGGUGGUGUGUCGCGUCGUCUGUGUAAUCCAGGGGCUUAACUUUUGGUUGGCAGGCGAUACGGGCAU
rnacentral:rRNA from 1 species